rnacentral:ncRNA from 1 species
AAAAUAGAUGGUGGUACAUGGCAUGGAAGAACUUUUCUGUCUUAGCAUUGUGAUGAUAUAUGAGAGCGCUAAAGUUAAGGGAUUAGAGACCCCACUAUGGUUAGCCGUAAACUGAGGUAAUUAAAUAACAAAAUUACUCGCCAGAGAACUACUAGCCACUGCUUAAAACUCAAAGGACUUGACAGUGCCCUAAACCCUCCUAGAGGAGCCUGUUCUAUAAUCGAUAAACCCCAAUACACCUCACCCCUUCUCGCUUAUCAGUCUAUAUACCACCGUCGUCAGCUCACCCCAACAGAGUUCCAAAGUGAGCAAAAUCAUGAAACUAUAAAAACGUUAGGUCAAAGUGUAGCAUAUGAAGGGGGAAGCAAUGGGCUACAUUUUCUAUUUUAGAACACAAUGGAUUGUCUAUUGAAACAAAGACAUGAAGGAGGAUUUAGUAGUAAAUUAAGAACAGAGAACUUAAUUGAAAUAGGCAAUAGGGUGCAUACACACUGCCCGUCACCCUCCUCAAUAAAGUAACUAACUUCAAAUACCUAAUAAGAAUACGCCAAAAAGAGGAGAAAAGUCAUAACAUGGUAAGUGUACUGGAAAGUGCACUUGGACAAUAAAAAUG